CAGUAGCCGCGGUAACACGAAGGGGGCUAGCGUUGUUCGGAAUCACUGGGCGUAAAGGGUGUGUAGGCGGAUUCUUAAGUCAGGGGUGAGAUCCCGAGGCUCAACCUCGGAACUGCCUUUGAUACUGGGGAUCUUGAGUCCGGAAGAGGUGAGUGGAACUGCGAGUGUAGAGGUGAAAUUCGUAGAUAUUCGCAAGAACACCGGUGGCGAAGGCGGCUCACUGGUCCGGAACUGACGCUGAGGCACGACAGCGUGGGGAGCAAACAGGAUUAGAUACCCCAGUAGUCCCUGUCUCUUAUAC
rnacentral:rRNA from 1 species